UUGAUUAGGGAACGUCGGUCUACCGAGCAAUAUCACCCGCUCGGUGGAAGAUUUUUUCUCCGUCGU
rfam:Bombyx mori DNA, contig: Bm_scaf114_contig37620, strain: p50T/Dazao, build 2, whole genome shotgun sequence.